rnacentral:rRNA from 1 species
AAAUUGAAGAGUUUGAUCAUGGCUCAGAUUGAACGCUGGCGGCAGGCCUAACACAUGCAAGUCGAACGGUAACAGGAAGCAGCUUGCUGCUUUGCUGACGAGUGGCGGACGGGUGAGUAAUGUCUGGGAAACUGCCUGAUGGAGGGGGAUAACUACUGGAAACGGUGGCUAAUACCGCAUAACGUCGCAAGACCAAAGAGGGGGACCUUCGGGCCUCUUGCCAUCAGAUGUGCCCAGAUGGGAUUAGCUUGUUGGUGAGGUAACGGCUCACCAAGGCGACGAUCCCUAGCUGGUCUGAGAGGAUGACCAGCCACACUGGAACUGAGACACGGUCCAGACUCCUACGGGAGGCAGCAGUGGGGAAUAUUGCACAAUGGGCGCAAGCCUGAUGCAGCCAUGCCGCGUGUAUGAAGAAGGCCUUCGGGUUGUAAAGUACUUUCAGCGGGGAGGAAGGUGUUGUGGUUAAUAACCGCAGCAAUUGACGUUACCCGCAGAAGAAGCACCGGCUAACUCCGUGCCAGCAGCCGCGGUAAUACGGAGGGUGCAAGCGUUAAUCGGAAUUACUGGGCGUAAAGCGCACGCAGGCGGUCUGUCAAGUCGGAUGUGAAAUCCCCGGGCUCAACCUGGGAACUGCAUUCGAAACUGGCAGGCUUGAGUCUUGUAGAGGGGGGUAGAAUUCCAGGUGUAGCGGUGAAAUGCGUAGAGAUCUGGAGGAAUACCGGUGGCGAAGGCGGCCCCCUGGACAAAGACUGACGCUCAGGUGCGAAAGCGUGGGGAGCAAACAGGAUUAGAUACCCUGGUAGUCCACGCCGUAAACGAUGUCUACUUGGAGGUUGUGCCCUUGAGGCGUGGCUUCCGGAGCUAACGCGUUAAGUAGACCGCCUGGGGAGUACGGCCGCAAGGUUAAAACUCAAAUGAAUUGACGGGGGCCCGCACAAGCGGUGGAGCAUGUGGUUUAAUUCGAUGCAACGCGAAGAACCUUACCUGGUCUUGACAUCCACAGAACUUUCCAGAGAUGGAUUGGUGCCUUCGGGAACUGUGAGACAGGUGCUGCAUGGCUGUCGUCAGCUCGUGUUGUGAAAUGUUGGGUUAAGUCCCGCAACGAGCGCAACCCUUAUCCUUUGUUGCCAGCGGUCCGGCCGGGAACUCAAAGGAGACUGCCAGUGAUAAACUGGAGGAAGGUGGGGAUGACGUCAAGUCAUCAUGGCCCUUACGACCAGGGCUACACACGUGCUACAAUGGCGCAUACAAAGAGAAGCGACCUCGCGAGAGUAAGCGGACCUCAUAAAGUGCGUCGUAGUCCGGAUUGGAGUCUGCAACUCGACUCCAUGAAGUCGGAAUCGCUAGUAAUCGUGGAUCAGAAUGCCACGGUGAAUACGUUCCCGGGCCUUGUACACACCGCCCGUCACACCAUGGGAGUGGGUUGCAAAAGAAGUAGGUAGCUUAACCUUCGGGAGGGCGCUUACCACUUUGUGAUUCAUGACUGGGGUGAAGUCGUAACAAGGUAACCGUAGGGGAACCUGCGGUUGGAUCACCUCCUUA